rnacentral:rRNA from 1 species
AAUCUUAGACAAUGGGCGCAAGCCUGAUCUAGCCAUGCCGCGUGAGCGAUGAAGGCCUUAGGGUUGUAAAGCUCUUUCAGUGGGGAAGAUAAUGACUGUACCCACAGAAGAAGCCCCGGCUAACUCCGUGCCAGCAGCCGCGGUAAUACGGAGGGGGCUAGCGUUGUUCGGAAUUACUGGGCGUAAAGCGCACGUAGGCGGAUGGACAAGUCAGAGGUGAAAUCCCAGGGCUCAACCUUGGAACUGCCUUUGAAACUUUCCAUCUUGAGGUCGAGAGAGGUGAGUGGAAUUCCGAGUGUAGAGGUGAAAUUCGUAGAUAUUCGGAGGAACACCAGUGGCGAAGGCGGCUCACUGGCUCGAUACUGACGCUGAGGUGCGAAAGCGUGGGGAGCAAACAGG